rnacentral:rRNA from 1 species
AAUCAACGCUGGCGGCGUGCCUCAGACAUGCAAGUCGAACGAUUAAAGCUCUCUUCGGAGAGUGUAUAGAGUGGCGCACGGGUGAGUAACACGUAAGUAAUCUACCCUCGAGUGGGGAAUAACAACCGGAAACGGUUGCUAAUACCGCAUAAUGCAGCGGCACCGCAAGGUGACAGUUGUUAAAGAUUUAUCGCUUGAGGAGGAGCUUGCGGCAGAUUAGCUAGUUGGUAGGGUAACGGCUUACCAAGGCUACGAUCUGUAACCGGUCUAAGAGGACGGUCGGUCACACUGACACUGAAUAACGGGUCAGACUCCUACGGGAGGCAGCAGUCGGGAAUUUGGUC